rnacentral:rRNA from 1 species
AUUGAACGCUGGCGGCAGGCCUAACACAUGCAAGUCGAGCGAGUGGCGGACGGGCGAGUAAUGCCUGGGAAUUGCCCAGUCGAGGGGCAUAAAAGUUGGAAACGACUGCUAAUACCCCAUCCGAUUGGAUUGCCCAGGUGGGAUUAGCUCGUUGGUGAGGUAUUGGCUCACGAAGGCGACGCUCCCUAGCUGGUCUGAGAGGAUGUGCGGCCACACUGGAACGGAGAAACGGUCCAGACUCCUACGGGAGGCAGCAGUGGGGAAGAUUGCACAAUGGGGGAAACCCUGAUGCAGCCAUGCCGCGUGUGUGAAGAAGGCCUUCGGGUUGUAAAGCACUUUCAGCGAGGAGGCGUUACUCGCAGAAGAAGCACCGGCUAACUCCGUGCCAGCAGCCGCGGUAAUAC